rnacentral:rRNA from 1 species
UACGGAGGGGGCUAGCGUUGUUCGGAAUUACUGGGCGUAAAGCGCGCGUAGGCGGCUUUGUAAGUUAGAGGUGAAAGCCCGGAGCUUAACUCCGGAACUGCCUUUAAGACUGCAUCGCUUGAAUCAUGGAGAGGUGAGUGGAAUUCCGAGUGUAGAGGUGAAAUUCGUAGAUAUUCGGAAGAACACCAGUGGCGAAGGCGACUCACUGGACAUGUAUUGACGCUGAGGUGCGAAAGCGUGGGGAGCAAACAGG